GCCGUUUUAUAAAAGUUAUAGAGCCAAGGUGGUAUACAAGAAUGAAACGAGAGCAAACAGAAAAAGAAAAAUGGAUGAAGCCAAUGUUCCAAACAGUCCUCAAUAGCAAUUGACUUAAUGAUAACCCAAAUCAGGUGGAGACGUAUAGAUACAUAAAGUAAAGUGAGUCUUACAACACUUAAUUGCCAUAUAAAUUUAUUAGGACCUUUAUAAAUGUCGGGAGCUAGUUAUCUGAUCAGGUGAUCCUAUUACAAGAAUGUUAAUGCUUUCAUAACACUACUGAACUUGUUUUGGCGUGUACACCCUUGCGAUGGCCUGAACAGAGCAUGUCAUAUCCAGGGAGGAGUCACUCUCUAGGAAGGUUAGUUUUGUCAGAGAAGAAGCUGGUGAAACAAGCAGACGAGGGCAGAUCAUUGAAAUUGAAGAGGUAGUGAGUUCCACGUCCAAGAUGAGGAAAGAAAAUCUUGAGAAACUACAGGAAGCAGGGGCCAAUAUUACCCGAAAUUCAGCUGAGAAGACUAUGCCAAAAAUACAAAAGGUUUUGGCCUUGCUGCGUGGACACAAAAAUUUCAAAAAGUACUUCGAGCCAAUAGUGGUAUCACUCGAUCCUAUCCAUCAUGGGAAGAAGGAAUACCAGGCAGCAGAGGACUUCAAGCUUGGAAUGGCAAGCAAAUUCGUCGAGAAAAGUGGCAGGUCGGGUGAAUUUUUGCUCGGGAAAAUUGCGAAGAACAUCAAGCAACUGAAGCAGUACUUGAAUGAAAAGGUGGUCGAGAAGUAUGAUGAUGAGACCCUUGCCUAGAUGCUGUUUGUUGACGGGUGUGCAGUGUUGCAAUCCAUACACUCUGCAUUAAACCAGAGCUUAUCAAAAAGUUGAAGAUAAAAAAUGAUCAGAUGGCUAUAUGACAAAGUUUAAGGCCCAUAAACUUUGGGUUGCAUGUGUAUUGCCAGUAUUGCCCAUGUUGGUUGAGAAAGAGGACAACCGCAUUGAUUGUCAAGAAUAUUAUUGCUCAAAUGAUGGUUUACUUUCGACAUGAUUAUUUGCUUUGCUUUGGUGAUCCACAAAGAAUACCAAGGUUAGAAAAAUCACUUUCUUGUCCAUUCCUUUAGUUCGAGUUUAUACUUGGUUUCAUUUUUGAACCAGAAAGGAAUGAAUAGACACUGAAGUUUCAUAUGGGGUAGCGUUUAGUGAACAUGGAAGCACUUGUGCAGAAGUGGGAAGAAGCAACUCCGGUUUCAUCAUAUUUGCCAAAACCUGUCAGCUCCAUUCAACAUAUAUAGCAUUUCCAAGUUUAGCAUUUGCAGCCCAAGUGGUCUGCCGGCCCUUGUUGCUACUAUUUCUUUGGAAUCUCAGGUGAGAUUUUCCUUUCAUUUUUGUUUGUUCUCUCUGGUCUUUUAAGACUUCAUUUUUGCUUCAUAUAUGAUGUUAAGAUUUCCAUGAAUCUACUCGUGGGGUUGCAUAUGUAGCGGCAUUAUUGCUCAUGUUGGUUGGUUGGGAUUAUGGGAACUCACUCUAUUGAUCUGAACUUUUGGGUUUAGGGACCUGUACAACAUGUGCACUGAUGUAACAUGUCUUUAUUUUCAAGGACGUCUUCUUUUGUAGACUUUAGUAAUCUAUCUAUUCUAACACUAUUGGAAUUCAAUCGGUAACCUUACACAGGAGAAAUGAGGGAUUCUUAAACUUGGGGCAUCAAACUUCUAGAUUAGGUGGAGAAGGACUGUGAUGAUCCAAAGGUAGAUUUGGAGUUAGAGCUUUGACUUGUUUGACAUGGACGAACGACAUGCACGUGUAAAAGGGCUAAAACUUAAGACCACCACACUACUGCCACUGUCAUCCAUCUCUCUCUCUCUCUCUCUCUCUCUCUCUCUCUCUCUCUCUCUCUCUCUCUCUCUCUCUCUGUGGUUAUUUAUAAGGUUGAACAAUUUGGAUCUAGCUGUCAAUUUUGCCAAAAGUUGGGGGAAUAUUCAUGCUAUUAAUUAGCUUAUAAGCUUUUCA